UGAUGGACCGACUGAUGGGAGGGACGGGAGGUGAGCAAGAUGGCGCAGAUGCAGGGCACCAGGAGGAAAGUCUGUUACUACUACAACGGGGAUGUUGGAAAUUAUUAUUAUGGACAAGGCCACCCAAUGAAGCCUCACCAAAUCUGCAUGACUCACAAUUUGCUACUUAACUAUGGUCUCUACAGAAAAAUGGAAAUCUAUCGCCCUCACAAAGCCAAUGCUGAGGAAAUGACCAAGUACCACAGUGAUGACUACAUUAAAUUCUUGUACUUCAUCCGCCCAGAUAACAUGUCUGAAUACAGCAAGCAGAUGCAGAGAUUCAACGUUGGUGAGGACUGCCCAGUAUUUGAUGGCCUGUUUGAGUUCUGACAGUUGUCUACUGGUGGCUCUGUGGCAAGUGCUGUGGAACUUAAUAAGCAGCAGACGGACAUCGCUGUGAAUUGGGCUGGGGGCCUGCACCAUGCAAAGAAGUCCGAGGCAUCUGGCUUCUGUUAUGUCAAUGAUAUCGUCUUGACCAUCCUGGAACUGCUAAAGUACCACAGACUGGGUCAUGACUGUGUCCUUUCAUAAAUAUGGAGAGUACUUCCCAGGAACUGGGGAUCUAUGGGAUAUUGGGGCUGGCAAAGGCAAGUAUUAUGCUGUUAACUACCCACUCCGAGAUGGGAUUGAUGACGAGUCCUAUGAGGCCAUUUUCAAGCCGGUAAUGUCCAAAGUAAUGGAGAUGUUCCAGCCCAGUGCAGUGGUUUUACAGUGUGGCUCAGACUCCCCGUCUGGGGAUCGGUUAGGUUGCUUCAAUCUGACCAUCAAAGGGCAUGCCAAGUGCGUGGAAUUUGUCAAGAGCUUCAACCUGCCUAUGUUGAUGCUGAGAGGAGGUGGUUACACCAUUCGUAAUGUUGCCCGAUGCUGGACAUAUGAAACAGCUGUGGCCCUGGACAGAGAGAUCCCUAAUGACCUUCCAUACAAUGACUACUUUGAAUACUUUGGUCCAGACUUCAAGCUUCACAUCAGCCCCUCCAAAAUGACUAACCAGAAUACUAAUGAGUAUUUGGAGAAGAUCAAACAGCGACUGUUUGAGAACCUGAGGAUGCUGCCCCAUGUGCCAGGGGUUCAGAUGCAGGCAAUUCCUGAGGAUGCCAUCCCAGAGGAAAGUGGUGAUGAGGAUGAAGAAGACCCUGACAAACGCAUCUCCAUCUGUUCCUCUGACAAACGAAUUGCCUGUGAGGAAGAGUUCUCUGAUUCUGAUGAGGAAGGAGAGGGUGGCCGAAAGAACUCUUCCAACUUCAAAAAAGCCAAGAGAGUCAAAACAGAAGAUGAAAAAGAGAAAGAUCCGGAAGAGAAGAAAGAAGUUACAGAAGAGGAGAAAACCAAGGAGGAGAAGCCAGAAGCCAAAGGGUCAAGGAAGAGGUCAAGUUGGCCUGAGCAGACCUCUCCAGCUCUGGUUUCUUGUCAAGUCUCCCACCUUUGUCCAAUACCCCCUCAGAUUUUAUAUUUUCUAUUUAUCUUUGUAUUUAUAU